UACGGAGGGUGCAAACGUUGCUCGGAAUCAUUGGGCGUAAAGCGCACGUAGGCGGCUUCUUAAGUCGGGUGUGAAAGCCCUCGGCUCAACCGAGGAAGUGCAUUCGAAACUGGGGGGCUUGAAUACUGGAGAGGAUGGCGGAAUUCCCGGUGUAGAGGUGAAAUUCGUAGAUAUCGGGAGGAACACCAGUGGCGAAGGCGGCGACCUGGGCCAAUACUGACGCUGAGGUGCGAAAGCAUGGGGAGCGAACAGG
rnacentral:rRNA from 1 species